UACGUAGGUGGCGAGCGUUGUCCGGAUUUACUGGGUUUAAAGGGAGCGUAGGCGGGUUGUUAAGUCAGUUGUGAAAGUUUGCGGCUCAACCGUAAAAUUGCAGUUGAUACUGGCAUCCUUGAGUACAGUAGAGGUAGGCGGAAUUCGUGGUUUAGCGGUGAAAUGCUUAGAUAUCACGAAGAACUCCGAUUGCGAAGGCAGCCUGCUGGACUGUAACUGACGCUGAUGCUCGAAAGUGUGGGUAUCAAACAGG
rnacentral:rRNA from 1 species